AGACGGAGGAGGAGAGAGCAAUUGUUGAAGGAAAGCGAAAAAAAAAAAAACUCAGAGAAAUGAGGAAGUUCGAUCCAUGGCCGAUUUUCUUCAAGCGAGAGUGGAACCGGAACUGGCCAUUCAUCGUUGGGUUCGCCAUCACCGGGACCCUAAUCACCAAGUUCUCUCUCGGCCUCACUGAGGAAGAUGCCAAGAACUCGCCUUUCGUUCAGAGGCACAAGAGGUGAUUUCUGAAUGCCGUGGUAGCCACCUUUGUACUCGAGUUGUGGAGGUUCUCGUGCUAUUUUCAAGGACUAUAAUAACGAAAGAGAGAUGUUCUAGAUACUCUUUUUGAGUUUUCUGUUAUGUUUUGAAUGACUUGAAUAACAUGAGAAGAAAAGACUGCUAUUCGUUGGUUUUGAAUUUGGUGCAUUCGCCCGACAUUCUUCAAAAAUGAAACAAAAGUUGUGUUACAUAGUCAUGUUAUUUUUACAGGCUUAUA